UACGUAGGGUGCGAGCGUUAAUCGGAAUUACUGGGCGUAAAGCGUGCGCAGGCGGUGAUGUAAGACAGAUGUGAAAUCCCCGGGCUCAACCUGGGAACUGCAUUUGUGACUGCAUCGCUGGAGUGCGGCAGAGGGGGAUGGAAUUCCGCGUGUAGCAGUGAAAUGCGUAGAUAUGCGGAGGAACACCAAUGGCGAAGGCAAUCCCCUGGGCCUGCACUGACGCUCAUGCACGAAAGCCAGGGGAGCAAACGGG
rnacentral:rRNA from 1 species